CAAGAAAUGCCUGAUUAAAGGUGUAUUUUGAUAGAAUACCUCAUGCAAGACAAUUUACUGCUUUCUUGA
rnacentral:tRNA from 1 species